rnacentral:rRNA from 1 species
GUGGGGAAUAUUGGACAAUGGGCGAAAGCCUGAUCCAGCCAUGCCGCGUGUGUGAAGAAGGUCUUCGGCUUGUAAAGCACUUUAAGUUGGGAGGAAGGGCAGUAAGUUAAUACCUUGCUGUUUUGACGUUACCGACAGAAUAAGCACCGGCUAACUUCGUGCCAGCAGCCGCGGUAAUACGAAGGGUGCAAGCGUUAAUCGGAAUUACUGGGCGUAAAGCGCGCGUAGGUGGUUUUGUAAGUUGGAGGUGAAAUCCCCGGGCUCAACCUGGGAACUGCCUCCAAAACUGCAUGACUAGAGGAGGGUAGAGGGGAUUGGAAGUUCCUGUGGAGCGGUGAAAUGAGUAGAUAUAGGAAGGAACACCAGUGGCGAAGGCGACUACCUGGACGGAUACUGACACUGAGGUGCGAAAGCGUGGGGAGCAAACAGGAUUAGAAACCCUGGUAGUCC